rnacentral:rRNA from 1 species
GAUGAACGCUGGCGGCGUGCCUAAUACAUGCAAGUCGAGCGCACAGAUGAGGAGCUUGCUCCCCUGACGUUAUCGGCGGGCGGGAGAGUAACACGUGGAUAACCUACCUAUACGACUGGGAUAACUUCGGGAAACCGGAUCUAAUACCGGAUCAGAUAUUGAACCGUAACGUUCACUAAUGAAAUACGGUUUUGCUGUCACUUAUAGAUCGAUCCUCGCCGCAUUAACUAGUUGGUAAGGUAACGGCUUACCAAGGCAAUGAUUCGUAGCCGACCUGAGAGGGUGAUGGGCCACACUGGAACUGGGAAACGGCCCAGACUCCUCCGGGAGGAAGCAGUAGGGAAUCUUCCGCAAUGGGCGAAGGCCUGACGGAGCAACGCCGCGGGAGGGAUGAAGGUCUUCGGAUGUUAAAACUCUGUUAUUAGGAAAGAACAAAGGUGUAAGUAACUGUGCACGUCUUGACGGUACCUAAUCAGAAAGCCACGGCUAACUACGUG